rnacentral:rRNA from 1 species
CCCAGACUCCUACGGGAGGCAGCAGUGGGGAAUAUUGCACAAUGGGGGAAACCCUGAUGCAGCGACGCCGCGUGAGUGAAGAAGUAUCUCGGUACGUAAAGCUCUAUCAGCAGGGAAGAAAAUGACGGUACCUGACCAAGAAGCCCCGGCUAACUACGUGCCAGCAGCCGCGGUAAUACGUAGGGGGCAAGCGUUAUCCGGAUUUACUGGGUGUAAAGGGAGCGUAGACGGCAGCGCAAGUCUGGAGUGAAAUGCCGGGGCCCAACCCCGGAACUGCUUUGGAAACUGUGCAGCUCGAGUGCAGGAGAGGUAAGCGGAAUUCCUAGUGUAGCGGUGAAAUGCGUAGAUAUUAGGAGGAACACCAGUGGCGUAGGCAGGUUGCUGGGACGGUUCUGACACUAAGGCACGAAAGCGUAGGGAGCAAACGGGAUUAGAUACCCCGGUA